CCUCGCUGCGGAGCUACCAUGCAGUCGAGCGGAUGAAGGGAGCUUGCUCCUGGAUUCAGCGGCGGACGGGUGAGUAAUGCCUAGGAAUCUGCCUGGUAGUGGGGGAUAACGUCCGGAAACGGGCGCUAAUACCGCAUACGUCCUGAGGGAGAAAGUGGGGGAUCUUCGGACCUCACGCUAUCAGAUGAGCCUAGGUCGGAUUAGCUAGUUGGUGGGGUAAAGGCCUACCAAGGCGACGAUCCGUAACUGGUCUGAGAGGAUGAUCAGUCACACUGGAACUGAGACACGGUCCAGACUCCUACGGGAGGCAGCAGUGGGGAAUAUUGGACAAUGGGCGAAAGCCUGAUCCAGCCAUGCCGCGUGUGUGAAGAAGGUCUUCGGAUUGUAAAGCACUUUAAGUUGGGAGGAAGGGCAGUAAGUUAAUACCUUGCUGUUUUGACGUUACCAACAGAAUAAGCACCGGCUAACUUCGUGCCAGCAGCCGCGGUAAUACGAAGGGUGCAAGCGUUAAUCGGAAUUACUGGGCGUAAAGCGCGCGUAGGUGGUUCAGCAAGUUGGAUGUGAAAUCCCCGGGCUCAACCUGGGAACUGCAUCCAAAACUACUGAGCUAGAGUACGGUAGAGGGUGGUGGAAUUUCCUGUGUAGCGGUGAAAUGCGUAGAUAUAGGAAGGAACACCAGUGGCGAAGGCGACCACCUGGACUGAUACUGACACUGAGGUGCGAAAGCGUGGGGAGCAAACAGGAUUAGAUACCCUGGUAGUCCACGCCGUAAACGAUGUCGACUAGCCGUUGGGAUCCUUGAGAUCUUAGUGGCGCAGCUAACGCGAUAAGUCGACCGCCUGGGGAGUACGGCCGCAAGGUUAAAACUCAAAUGAAUUGACGGGGGCCCGCACAAGCGGUGGAGCAUGUGGUUAAUUCGAAGCAACGCGAAAACCUUACCUGGCCUUGA
rnacentral:rRNA from 1 species